CAGCCGCCGCGGUAAUACGUAGGUGGCGAGCGUUGUCCGGAUUUACUGGGUGUAAAGGGCGUGUAGGCGGGUAUGCAAGUCAGAUGUGAAAUACCGGGGCUCAACUCCGGGGCUGCAUUUGAAACUGUGUAUCUUGAGUGCAGGAGAGGGAAGUGGAAUUCCUAGUGUAGCGGUGAAAUGCGUAGAUAUUAGGAGGAACACCAGUGGCGAAGGCGACUUCCUGGACUGCAACUGACGCUGAGGCGCGAAAGCGUGGGUAGCGAACAGGAUUAGAUACCCUGGUAGUCCACGCUGUAAACGAUGGAUACUAGGUGUAGGAGGUAUCGACCCCUUCUGUGCCGGAGUUAACACAAUAAGUAUCCCACCUGGGGAGUACGGCCGCAAGGUUGAAACUCAAAGGAAUUGACGGGGGCCCGCACAAGCAGUGGAGUAUGUGGUUUAAUUCGAAGCAACGCGAAGAACCUUACCAGGGCUUGACAUCUACCGGAUCCUGUAGAGAUACGGGAGUGCCUUUUGGAGCGGUAAGACAGGAGGUGCAUGGCC
rnacentral:rRNA from 1 species